GUCGCGCUGCGCUUUUGCGCCGGGCGAUCCGGCUUGGCCGCCCUGCGUCGGGUCUCGCAGGUCGGGUCGAUCGCCCCCGAGGUCCUCGCGCUGCGCACGGAGAAGAGCAGCGCGGGCACCCCAGCCGCAGAGCCGCCUCCGCGAAGCGCGUUCCCAGCUCUCCGAAGGAGGCCGAGCAGGGGCCGAGAGCAGCGCGAGGGGCGUCUCGCUGGGCUCAGGCGCCGGGCGCGCAAAGCGGGGCGCCCCUCCUGCUUAGGACGUGGGAGCGGCGGGGCGGAAAAGCAGCCGAGGGAUGAAGUCCGUAUUAGGCCACCCAAAUGUCCCAGAAAGAGGUGGAGAGCAAACCUCGGAGUUCUCCAGAACUUUUCAUCAAGCAGAUGAUACAGCAGGAGGAGGAAAGUGAAGUCUGUUGGCGCAGAAUUACUCUCCUUUGCCGCUGAAGAGGUGCCGGCACACGGAUUUGGCUGGUGGCUGGCUCUUUCUCCACCAAGGCCCCCCUCCCUGGUGCACCGCCACCUCAAGGCCACCACCUUCGGGGGGCUAAGAGCCAAGAACACCCAGCUGGGUUUGAUUCCAGGGUUCUUGCCAAGAAUACUGAAAUCAAGGAUGCAGAGUCCUCAGGAUAUGAGGUAUUUCCCACACUUCUGAUAGUUUCAGUCCGAGGAAGAAGCGAUGCUGUUGGACUCAGCUGGGAGUGGAACCCACCUGUGCUGUUCCAGCUUGGCAUGGAGAAAGUCUCAGGACCAGGGGCAUCCACGGGGCGGGGGGGGUGCCACAAAAGCCAAGAUGGCGGCUGCAGCCACAUGACUGGCGGGGCUUCGGUCCCAUGGCUGCAGCUGCCGUGUGUUCUUUGGGGUACCCCCUCCUGCCGGUGCCCCUGUUUAGGACUGAUUCUUGGCCUCUCCGUGCAAAGAUGAGAAAAACACCUCUCUGAAAUGUUCAAGAGCCAUUGCAGUUCACUGGCUUGGAUCACACAGCCUGCUGAAUCAUGGUUGAUUUAAUAAAUUAUCGUUGCUUGG